rnacentral:lncRNA from 1 species
AAAACCCAGACUCCCAGGGUCAUCAACCUCCCCGGGUCACUAACCCUCCCCAGUGUCUGUCUACCCCUGAGUCCAGAGAACACGUCCUCUCUAGGCUCGAGCCGGAAUCAAUAUAGGCUACAGGAGCAUCAGUGCAGGCUGCGCGGAGGAGAGAAGGAGGUGCUCCGGAAUCAAUAUAGGCUACAGGAGCAUCAGUGCAGGCUGCGCGGAGGAGAGAAGGAGGUGCUGAUGUGGAGGAUCCAUGAGGUUCAUCUAUCUGUAGUGCUUCUGACCAGAGAAAAGGCCAAAGAGAGAAAACCCUGAGGAACAUCUUUGACUUGCAUAGAAACUUAUCUGAAGAUUUUCAGAAUCUGAGCCUCACCCUCAGUCUAUCCCAGUUUUAUCCUGACCUGUCCACAUCUGUUACACUCCAAGGCUUGCUGGGCCCAACACUGGAAGCUAUUUAAAGUUUCUACCGCGACUGGCCUUUUAAAGCCAGUGGGAUUCUCCAUGCUACACUUGAGCCUGGAGACUAGAAAAAAUGACAGCCUGUUUUCAUUAA